GAUGAACGCUAGCGGCAGGCCUAAUACAUGCAAGUCGAACGAGAUUAAGAGGCUUGCUUCUUAUGAAAGUGGCGCACGGGUGCGUAACGCGUAUGCAACCUACCUUAGUCAGGGGGAUAGCCCGAAGAAAUUCGGAUUAAGACCGCAUAAAAACACAGGAUAGCAUUAUCCAAUGUUCAAAUAUUUAUAGGAUUAAGAUGGGCAUGCGUGUCAUUAGCUAGUUGGCGGGGUAACGGCCCACCAAGGCGACGAUGACUAGGGGAUCUGAGAGGAUGACCCCCCACACUGGUACUGAGACACGGACCAGACUCCUACGGGAGGCAGCAGUAAGGAAUAUUGGUCAAUGGAGGGAACUCUGAACCAGCCAUGCCGCGUGCAGGAAGACAGCCCUCUGGGUCGUAAACUGCUUUUAUUCGGGAAUAAACCUUUCUACGUGUAGGAAGCUGAAUGUACCGAAGGAAUAAGGAUCGGCUAACUCCGUG
rnacentral:rRNA from 1 species